rnacentral:rRNA from 1 species
GACGAACGCUGGCGGCAUGCCUAAUACAUGCAUGUCGAGCGGACAGAAGGGAGCUUGCUCCCGGAAGUCAGCGGCGGACGGGUGAGUAACACGUGGGCAACCUGCCCCUUAGAUUGGGAUAACUUCGGGAAACCGAAGCUAAUACCGAAUAAUACAAGGAACCUCCUGGUUCUCUGUUGAAAGAUGGCCUUUGUGCUGUCACUAAGGGAUGGGCCCGCGGCGCAUUAGCUAGUUGGUAAGGUAACGGCUUACCAAGGCGACGAUGCGUAGCCGACCUGAGAGGGUGAUCGGCCACACUGGGGCUGAGACACGGCCCAGACUCCUACGGGAGGCAGCAGUAGGGAAUCUUCCGCAAUGGACGAAAGUCUGACGGAGCAAUGCCGCGUGAGUGAGGAAGGCCUUCGGGUCGUAAAGCUCUGUUGUGAGGGAAGAACAAGUACCGGCGUAACUACCGGUACCGUGACGGUACCUCACCAGAAAGCCACGGCUAACUACGUGCCAGCAGCCGCCGUAA